rnacentral:tRNA from 1 species
GGGGUUGUGGCUUAGUGGUAGAGUGCUUGCAUUACAGGUGCAAGGCACUGGGUUCGAUUCACAGUGCCUCA